rnacentral:rRNA from 1 species
GACGAACGCUGGCGGCGUGCUUAACACAUGCAAGUCGAACGGAAAGGCACUGCUUUUGUGGGGUGCUCGAGUGGCGAACGGGUGAGUAACACGUGAGUAACCUGACCUUGACUUUGGGAUAACUUCAGGAAACUGGGGCUAAUACCGGAUAGGAGCUCCUGCUGCAUGGUAGGGGUUGGAACGUUUCGGCGGUUGGGGAUGGACUCGCGGCUUAUCAGCUUGCUGGUGGGGUAGUGGCUUACCAAGGCAUUGACCGGUAGCCCGCCUGAGAGGGUGACCGGCCACAUUGGGACUGAGGUACGGCCCAGUCUCCUACGGGAGGCAGCGGUGGGGAAUAUGGCACAAUGGGCGGAAGCCUGAUGCAGCAACGCCGCGUUCGGGAUGACGGCCUUCGGGUUGUAAACCGCUUUCGCUUGUGACGAAGCGUUAGUGACGGUAAUGGGUAAAGAAGCACCGGCUAACUACGUG